rnacentral:rRNA from 1 species
AUUGAACGCUGGCGGCAGGCCUACCACAUGCAAGUCGAGAGGAGCGGCGGACGGGUGAGUAAUGACUAGGAAUAUGCAUGGUAGUGGGGGAUAACGUCCGGAAAUGGGAGCUAAUACCGAUUACUAUCAGAUGAGCCUAGGUCGGAUUAGCUAGUUGGUGGGGUAAAGGCCUACCAAGGCGACGAUCCGUAACUGGUAUGAGAGGUUGAUCAGUCACACUGGAACUGAGACACGGUCCAGACUCCUACGGGAGGCAGCAGUGGGGAAGAUUGGACAAUGGGCGAAAGCCUUAUCCAGCCAUGCCGCGUGUGUGAAGAAGGUCUUCGGAUUGUAAAGCACUUUAAGUUGGGAGGCGUUACCAACAGAAUAAGCACCGGCUAACUUCGUGCCAGCCGCCGCGGUAAUAC